rnacentral:rRNA from 1 species
AACGAACGCUGGCGGCAUGCCUAACACAUGCAAGUCGAAUGAAGCCUUCGGGCUUAGUGGCGCACGGGUGCGUAACACGUGGGAAUCUGCCCUUUGGUUCGGAAUAACAGUUAGAAAUGACUGCUAAUACCGGAUAAUGACGUAAGUCCAAAGAUUUAUCGCCGAAGGAUGAGCCCGCGUAGGAUUAGGUAGUUGGUGGGGUAAUGGCCCACCAAGCCGACGAUCCUUAGCUGGUCUGAGAGGAUGAUCAGCCACACUGGGACUGAGACACGGCCCAGACUCCUACGGGAGGCAGCAGUGGGGAAUAUUGGACAAUGGGCGAAAGCCUGAUCCAGCAAUGCCGCGUGAGUGAUGAAGGCCUAGGGUUGUAAAGCUCUUUUACCAGGGAUGAUAAUGACAGUACCUGGAGAAUAAAGCUCCGGCUAACUCCGUGCCAGCAGCCGCGGUAAU